rnacentral:lncRNA from 1 species
CUCCAUGGUUAAAAGGCAGACCGCCAUUUUUUUUGGUGAAAUCAAAUUGGCUCAAAAGGAACAGAACAGAGAACUCUUCUUUUCAUCCUCACCGCCACUUCUCCAACCCUCUCUCCUUCUCUCCUCAACCCGAUGAUCACUGGAGCACCACUGUCAAACCUUUUCACCAACAUUCCUUAAACACCAAAUUUUUCUUAUAUGAAUCAACCGUAUAUAAACCUCUAACCAAAUACCAAGGCUUUAUCUUCUAACAAAUCAGAUCUGAUGUAUGAUAUAUUUCGGAGGUCAAUCAGGUACGUAUGACACAUUAGAUCGGAUAUAUGGUAUAUCAAAUAUGUGUUUAUGACAUGUUGGAGCAAAUUUAUAGGGUUUCUGUUAUUCCGCCAUGAAGAACACGAACCGUAAUAAGGGAUACAUUCUUAAAUUGUUUCACUCUCCUUCAACCACUCGACCAUUUCCUCUCUAGAUUCUCAUUAGCAGGGUCUCAAAUGAUUUAUAUUUGUGAUUGUAGCUUACUAAUUCCUUUUUUUUUUUUUUUUUAAUCUUUCCAUGUGAUAACGUACACAAUCAUUACAGCAUCCUCGGAAGCAGUACUGUAUGUGUGGCUAUUGAAUUUAAGGAUAUGGGCGAUGAAGGUCCAUCAACUAUAUUCUGAUAAAAAUAAAGUGCACUAACGAGGUUAAAAUUCUUUAAAGCCGUUAAACUGAAAAAAAAAAACACUCUUCCCUUACCUUUUUCUUCAUUUGUAAAGAGAAUAAGAUUGGACUGGAACUUUUACAGGUGCGUCUCAAAUCCAAUUUCCCAUUAAUUCUUUUUAUUAGAAAUUGUAACUAAUUUGGAAGGAUGGCGGUGAUAUCGGGAAUAGGGAUGUGUUCUACAUGAUCUGUAUUUUUUUUAGUAGGGGUUUCUUCUUUGCUUUUGAUAUGUUUUUUGUGGGAUGAUGGAACAUGGCACACCAGGUGUUCGACAUAUUGUCCAUGAGGUUCUUUUGGCGCAUUAGACAUCCAAUUUCAUUUUCUUCUCUUUCUAUACAGGAGAUUCAACCAAGUCUUUGAUUGUUUAAGAUUUUUAAGUUUAUGUUCUUUUAUAUAUGUAGUAUUAAACUAAACUGUAGAUACACAUACCCCCACCUGAUGGAAAUAUGUUGACUAACGUCUUAGAUUGGAUUAACAUAUAAUUUUACAAAGACAAUGUAAUUUUUCAGGAUGUGUGUAUGUUGCUUGUUCUAGUGUUGUGACCAAUAGUUAAUUCAUAGAUGCAAUAUGAUGAAGAUGACAAUGAAAAAGAUUAUGGUCUAAGAGGGAAAGCUUGGGAGCUUGUUGAUCCCAAAAGUACCCAAACAUCCGUCUCAGUUUAGGUGAUUGUAAAACUUUUCAUUCUAAAAAAUAGAGUCCACACAUGACAGAAAUGUACUUUGUUAAUUCUAAAUACAAACAUAGAAUUUACAUUAUGAAAUUAAUUUGGUUGUUAUUGCAGUGUGGAUGAAGUACCAGUAUUGACAAGCAUGGCAAUCAGGUAAUAAAUUGUAAGCAAUUAAAUAUUAUUGUGGUUUGAAAUUGAUAUAUGAUUAUCAUAGUUUUUCGUAAUAAGAACAAUAUCAAUUUUAUUUAUAAAGACAAAAAUAAAAACAAGAAAAUAGAUAGGAAAUGAUUGAACUUUUAUUUUGUAAAGACAUCAUGCAUAAUUCUUAGAGCAUUACUGGUUAGCUUAUCAAAGGCCUUAUGUUUUGUACAUUAGCUUUUCUAAAAAAAAAAUUUUAAAAUUAAAUAAUUGAUGUCCAUGUAUAUAAAAUAUUUUAUAAAUCUUUUUCUUACAUUUCAAUGGAGUUAAAUACUUGGGGUAGAGUAUCUUUGUCCUCCUCACGUUUGAGUAACUUGGCAUGGUUUUAAAUAGUUGAUGUUCAUCUAAAUAAAAUGUUUUAUAUAUUAAGAAACCUAUUGUUCUGUGUUUUGAUUUGACUGUUAAACCUCACUAAAUUUGUCUAGACAUUAUAUUAUUACUAAUAUUCAAUCAAAUUAAAUAUAUUCCAAUAGUCGUUGAUUACUUUUAUCCAUUAUUUUAAUCAUGGGUAAAUGGCACAAAAAACACUAUUUUUACACAUAAAUUCGAUUUUGACACCGUGUUAUUUUUUGUGUCAAUUUUGACACUGUGUUUUCCAAUUCGUUACAAUUCUGACCACAUGACCGGUUAAUCAGGUUACAUGCUGACGUGGCAUGAUGAUGGUCAGUUUUGAUGACGUGGCAUGCUGACAUGAUAUGCUGACGUGUCAAAAUUGAAUUUUUUUCUCACAAAAAACACUAAGUUUUUUUUUUUUUUUUCGAUUUUGACACUAUGUUUAAUUUUUUCUUUCAACUUUGACACUAUGUUUUUUUGUUCCAAAUCGAACAUCAUUUUUCCAAUUUUGUUCAAUGUUGACAAUUUUCUAUUUGAAACCGUAAAAAUAUUUUUUUAAUACAUUUAAACCGUAUAAAUAUGUUUUUUUUUUCAUUUAAAAACCAUAGUUUUGUAUAAAUACAUUUUUUUUUACACUCAAACCAUAUUUUUAUGUAUAAAUAUGUAUUAACUAUAUAAAAAUUGUAUUUUAUAUUAAUAUGCAACUUUAAAAUGUGUUUGAAGGUUUAUAGGCGUGUAGUUGAUCAAAAUUUGGAUAUCAAGUUUGCAACCCAUCAAAUUUUUACAUCUUAUUAGAAGCUUAUGGUUAGUUUGAUUCUCAUGAUAUAACUAAUGCUUUGAAUGUAAGAAAAAAAAAACACCUUGUAUUUAAAUAAAAAUGUGGUUUUUAAACGAAAAGAAUAUGUUAUACGGUUUAAAAUGUAAUAAAAAAAAUAUAUUUGUACGGUUUCAAAUGAAAAAUAGACAAAAUUGAACAAAAUUCGAUAAAUGAUGUUCGAUUGGAACAAAAAAAACAUAGUGUCAAAAUUGAAAUAAAAAAUUAAACUUAGUGUCAAAAUCAAAAAAAAGUGAAAACUUAGUGUUUUUUGUGGAAAAAAAUCAAUUUUGACACGUCAGCAUGCCACGUCAUCAAAACUGACACGUCAUCAUGCCACGUCAGCAUGUAACCUGGUUAACCGGUCAAGUGGUCAGAAUUGUAACGAAUUGGAUAACACAGUGUCAAAAUUGACACAAAAAAUAACACGGUGUCAAAAUCGAAUUUCUGUGUAAAAAUAGUGUUUUUUGUGCCAUUUACCCUUUAAUCAUAUAUAAAACUUAUAAAUUGGAUUUUUAUGUUUUAUCAAUUUUCAAAUAUUGAAGUGUUUUUUUGCUGAUUUUGUAUUCUUGAUUUGAUUUGACUUUUGUGAUUUCGUACAUGUUUAUAGAGUUUUCCCUUUUAAACAUGCUACACAACACUGUGCAACUCGCGAAGCGUAGGUAUUUAGACAUUACUAUUAACUUGAACUUGAUUUUGUAAAAUCUCAAAUUUGGUUAUUAAGGAAACUAAAGUCUUAAACUAUUAUUUUGAUGGAAGAUAUGAGGCAAUGUUAACCAUCCGAACUCUUUGCGUAGAAGAAAAACUUAAGACGAACAAUUAUACAAAGUUUGAGGUUGAUAGUUCUUCUUUCCCAACAAGUAUUUAGUUUAGUAGGAUUAUGUUUUGAGUACUAGCACUAACAUGUAUACUUCUUACACAUCUUUGAAGAUAUUUGUAUUUUAAAUAUUAAGAAUAUUGUUGACAG